UACGAAGGGGGCUAGCGUUGCUCGGAAUUACUGGGCGUAAAGCGCACGUAGGCGGCUUCUUAAGUCGGUGGUGAAAUCCUGGAGCUCAACUCCAGAACUGCCUUCGAUACUGGGAGGCUCGAGUCCGGGAGAGGUGAGUGGAACUGCGAGUGUAGAGGUGAAAUUCGUAGAUAUUCGCAAGAACACCAGUGGCGAAGGCGGCUCACUGGCCCGGUACUGACGCUGAGGUGCGAAAGCGUGGGGAGCAAACAGG
rnacentral:rRNA from 1 species